rnacentral:rRNA from 1 species
GAGUUUGAUCCUGGCUCAGAUUGAACGCUUGCGGCAUGCCUAACACAUGCAAGUCGAACGGCAGCAUCAGGAGCUUGCUCCUGGAUGGCGAGUGGCGGACGGGGGAGUAACGCGUAGGAAUCUGCCUAAUAGAUGGGGACAACUCAGGGAAACUUGAGCUAAUACCGAAUACGCCCUACGGGGGAAAGCGGUGGCACGCUACUGGAUGAGCCUAUGUCAGAUUAGCUUGUUGGUGGGGUAAUGGCCUACCAAGGCGACGAUCUGUAGCUGGUUUGAGAGGAUGACCAGCCACACUGGGACUGAGACACGGCCCAGACUCCUACGGGAGGCAGCAGUGGGGAAUAUUGCACAAUGGGCGCAAGCCUGAUGCAGCCAUGCCGCGUGUGUGAAGAAGGCCUUCGGGUUGUAAAGCACUUUCAGUUGGGAGGACCCUGACGUUACCUACAGAAGAAGCACCGGCUAACUCCGUGCCAGCAGCCGCGGUAAUACGGGGGGUGCAAGCGUUAUUCGGAAUUAUUGGGCGUAAAGCGAGUGCAGGCGGUAUUAUAAGUCAGAUGUGAAAGCCCGGGGCUCAACCCCGGAAGUGCAUUUGAAACUGUAAUACUUGAGUAUGGGAGAGGAAAGUGGAAUUCCUGGUGUAGAGGUGAAAUUCGUAGAUAUCAGGAGGAACACCAGUGGCGAAGGCGACUUUCUGGACCAAUACUGACGCUCAGACUCGAAGGCGUGGGGAGCGAACAGGAUUAGAUACCCUGGUAGUCCACGCAGUAAACGUACAACUAGGUGUCGCGGGUAUUGACCCCUGCGGUGCCGGAGCUAACGCAUUAAGUUGUCCGCCUGGGGAGUACGAUCGCAAGAUUAAAACUCAAAGGAAUUUACGGGGGCCCGCACAAGCGGUGGAGCAUGUGGUUUAAUUCGACACAACGCGAAGACCCUUACCUGGAUUUGACAUCCUGAAUCUUUUUGAAAGAUUUGAGUGCCCUUCGGGGAACCCAGUGACAGGUGCUGCAUGGCUGUCGUCAGCUCGUGUCGUGAGAUGUUCGGUUAAGUCCGGCAACGCGCGCACCCCUUGUCCUUAGUUACCAUCAUUUCGUUGGGGCCUCUCCGGCGCCUGCCGGUGCCCCACCGGAGGAAGGCGGGGACGACGUCAAGUCAUCAUGGCCCUUAGGAGUAGGGCUGCACACGUGCUACAAUGGCAUGUACAAAGGGUUGCCAAGCCGCGAGGUGGAGCUAAUCCCAUAAAGCAUGUCGUAGUCCGGAUUGGAGUCUGCAACUCGACUCCAUGAAGUCGGAAUCGCUAGUAAUCGUGAAUCAGAAUGUCACGGUGAAUACGUUCCCGGGCCUUGUACACACAGCCCGUCACACCAUGGUAGUGGGUUGCACCAGAAGUAGCUAGACUAACCUUCGGGAGGUCGGUUACCACGGUGUGGUUCAUGACUGGGGUGAAGUCGGCACAAGGUAGCC